rnacentral:rRNA from 1 species
CCUACGGGUGACAGCAGUGAGGAAUAUUGGUCAAUGGGCGGAAGCCUGAACCAGCCAAGCCGCGUGAGGGAGGAAGGUACAGAGUAUCGUAAACCUCUUUUGUCAGGGAACAAAGGCGGGGACGUGUCCCCGGAUGAGUGUACCUGAAGAAAAAGCAUCGGCUAACUCCGUGCCAGCAGCCGCGGUAAUACGGUGGAUGCGAGCGUUAUCCGGAUUUAUUGGGUUUAAAGGGUGCGCAGGCGGUCUGUUAAGUCAGCGGUCAAAGCCCGGGGCUCAACCCCGGCCCGCCGUUGAAACUGGCAGUCUCGAGUUGGAGAGAAGUAUGCGGAAUGCGCGGUGUAGCGGUGAAAUGCAUAGAUAUCGCGCAGAACUCCGAUUGCGAAGGCAGCAUGCCGGCUCCACACUGACGCUGAGGCACGAAAGCGUGGGUAUCGAACAGGAUUAGAUACCCGAGUAGUC